rnacentral:lncRNA from 1 species
CUUCCAACGACAGGGUGGAGAGUUCGAUUUCCAGCGAGAACCUGCGGCCAAAAAUUUGGUAUGGAGCAAUCACUGUGGAGGAGGGUCUCUUGUGCGCAGAAGUGUACAGUCAACGGGGAAAACCUGUGAUCCAGUUGAGGCAUAAUCCGCGAUUUACCCUCUCCAAGGUUCUAGGGGCAUGGGUCUUGGAGGUCCAGAAUUUAGUCUGGUGUAAGUUGGGAU